CUGACUGCCAGGUGCGUCUCAAGCUCCAGCUGCCCUGCACCUUGCCGGACCCUGUCCUCUGGAACAAAAUCAGCCUUGGCAGUUUGUGGUUUCUGCUCCCUGUUUGCAGCGGCUGGUGUAAUAUGAGACCUGUUGGCACAGCUGUGAAGGUCUUCCUCACAGGAGUGGGACACGCUUUGCGUCACACAGAGGUAAGGACAAAACCUGAC